rnacentral:rRNA from 1 species
GACGAACGCUGGCGGCGUGCUUAACACAUGCAAGUCGAACGGAAAGGCCCCGUUUUGGGUACUCUAGUGGCGCACGGGUGAGUAACACGUGAGUAACCUUCCCUUGACUUCGGGAUAACGUCAGGAAACUGGGGCUAAUACCGGAUAGGAAUCCUUUCUGCAUGGUGGGGGUUGGAAAGCUUCGGAGGUUUUGGAUGUAUUCGCGGCUUAUCAGCUUGUUGGUGUGGUAGUGGCUUACCAAAGCGUUGACGGGUAGCCGCCCUGAGAGGGCGACCGGCCACACUGGGACUGAGAGAAGGCACCGACUCCUAAGGUAGGGAGCAGUGGGGAAGAUUGAACAAUCGGCGGAAGGUUGAUGCAGAAAGGCCGCGUGCGGGAUGACGCUCUUAGGGUUGUAGAACGCUUUCAGCAGGGGCGAAGCUUGUGGUGACGGUACCUGAAGAAGAAGCAACGGCUAACUACGUG